rnacentral:lncRNA from 12 species
CCCCCCCCCCCCCCCCCCCCCCCCCCCCCCCCCCCCCCCCCCCCCCCCAGCGGCCCACCCCCCCCAGCGAUGUGAUUUAUGAAAAUGAAACAACUCUCUCAUUUGGCCAUCUGGGAUGCCGACCACCAAAUCAGCCCUCUGACGGUCCCCGCACCCCACAGGGGAAGCUCCCAGAGAGGGGACAGCCCCUCCGUUCCCCCCGGCGGCUCCAUGUGCAACCAGCAUAGUGCCAAGCUUUCGGGACUUGUUUGUGGAGAGACUGGCAAACAGUCAGGUGCUUUGCAGAACUGGUCUGAAAAUACCUCAGCAG